GGCGGGGGCUCACCCGGCUGGCGCGAAGGCGGGGUCGCUCUGCCACGGCCGGCGGCCGCAGGCGGCGCCCAGACUGAAGUGAGCGCCCGAGCUUCACACUUUUAUCGGGAGGAGGAGCUGGUGUGUGUUAUGGUUGGAGAGAGAGAAAAAAAAUCCUGCUGACGUUUCCCUCUAGUUGUUGCUAUUGAAAAUGCCAGGUUGCUUCAAAGGAUUAACCACAAGGAAGAGGAAAAACACCCUCAGAGAAACAGUGGAGGGAGCUGCCUAAAGCACAUGAAGAAACCUGUUGGAAAGUGGCACAGAAAACGUAAUGCCAGACCUAAAUGUGUUCACAGGCCAACCCUGCAUGUCUUCUCUUGGGGAUUUCCAGAGAAGGUGUACUUGCCAUAAAGGUCUCCCCAUCUGUUCCGGGGUCUUGCUUGCCGUUGCAAUCCUGCCUCAGCCUCUUCUUGCUGGGAGAGUUGGGCCUGCCCAGAUACCCUCCCUGCCGGUGGGCUUGGGCACUCCUCGUGGUACCUGCUGUCUGGAACCUCUUUUAGGACCCUGUGCCUCUGGUCACUCUCCGUGGAGACCCUGGGCCGCUCAUUGUAGCACAUGACUUCCCAGGCCACUGCCCAGAGUGGGCAAGGUCCCGCCUUUGCGCUGCAGAGAGAUGAGCCAUCUGAACACCCCCGAGAGAUGGCCCCCACUAGGCAAUGACUGGAACAUUUAAACCGCCACCACCACCACCCUGUGUUGGAGCCAUGGCCUAAUUAUACUCAUUUACCUGCAAGCUGGUACUGUAUGUAAUGCCCUCAAGGGAAAGCCUGCCGUUCCAUCCCAAAAUAGAAAUUCUGAGAUACAAAUUCUGCCUCGAGAGGGACUAAGGAAGGAUUUUUGUAGAACAGAGCUUUUCUUCUCCAAAUGAAGGGCAUUUCCUUUUUAUUUUACACUAGGACCUGAAUGUCGAAACCAUGUUGUUGUAACUUCCCUAAUGAAAUGCCUGCUGGAGAAUGGAAAGGCUAUUUUAGUUCUGGUCUCUCUUGCCAUAAAAGGCUCCGGAAUCAAGGGGGUUAAGGCUGGCCCUGGAACCGGGGCAGCUAUUCCUUAUAUUGUAUCAAAAGUCUUUCAUGCUGCCUGGCCUUUCAUGUAGCUCUGAAGCAGCUUUAUCGAUCUAUGCUAAGUAAACAUAGCUUUGUUUUCGUCUUCCACCCUCCGCCCUCCCUCCCGGCACAGACUGGAGUUGGAUCCCUUCCAAAGCGGCUGCUGCAGCAGCUCCAGCCGCCUCCUCCACACACAGAAGCAGGGUUUCUAGGGUGAGGCAAUGCGUCUGCAAUUCGCAGAGACAAGGCAGGAAUUGUAAUUGUAGUUCAUCAUGUGAUGACUUAUGAAAGAGGAAGUUGGUAUGUUUUAGUCACGUAGACCCUGCCCUCUUGCUUAAGGCUGCAGGUCCUUUGAGAAGAGCAUUAUGAUAAUCUUUGCCAUCCAGAGUCAAGGUUACCAGGUUGGCUGGCUGCAGGGUGCUCCUGUACAUUCGGACAUGGACGGGCAGGUGGAUGCUGCAUGACGGGUUGGUGGGGCAGUGGCUUGAGGCUGGCUUUUAACCAGAACACUGAAGUGCUGCAAUUUGGUCUUAAGAAGUAAAGGAAAUAUUCUUUGGGGAACACUUCUGCUGAGGUUAGAUGAAGCAACAGUCCUUUCUAGCUCUAAUUUCUAAGAUUUUUUUUUUUUUAAAGUAAAAACCACAGUUGAGCAAAAGGAAAGCCGCUCUGUAUGAUACCAUCAAAAAGAAGGAAUAAGGGAAGUGAUCAGUUGUUAAGACCAAGGGAGCAGUUCCAGGUGAAAGCUCAAUGGAUGGAGCAAAUCUGAACUCCCCGCACUGAGAUUUACAUGGGCUUCCACUGCGUGAGCAUUAAACAUCUCAAAUCGGAAUCUGGUCCCCGGAGCUUACUCCAGUCGAGAUGCUCUUGUUAACACACCACAGCCCUGUCCUGACAGUCCACAGGGCAGUGUAAAAAAAGUGGUUCCUUCCAGAGGACCCUGAGGGAACUCAGCCCUGAGAACACGCAGCUGGGGGAGGGUUGCAUCUGUGUGCUGUCCACGAGGUGGUAUUCCUAGAGACUGCUGAGUUCAUGCACUUCACCCUAUACCCACAUGUGGACUCACAGCCUUCAUUCUUUAGAGUGCAGUUUCUAUUAAUAGCAUGAUGUUGCAACCAUACUAGAGCUUCUUAAACUCUGACCCUGGCAUAUUUGAAGGAGAAAAAAAAAAAAAAAAAAAAAACGCCAAACGCAGCCGCGUGUCACUUGGAUUUUUGUGAAUAACAUCCUUAGCUCCUUGUACUUGAGCAAAACUGCCAUAAGACUGGAAGAGCACAUGUGCUGCUCAGGGCUUUUCUACUUAAAAAAAAAAUUAUGAAUAUGUACUUGAACAUACUUGUUUAAUGAAUACAUCUAUACAUGAUAUGGAGAGUCCUGACAUAAAUGAACCUUCUGUAGUAGAUAGGAAAGCCCUUCUUCUAAGUAAUAGCAUUUUAUGAGACAGUUCUACUGGUUUUCAAAUUGCAAUACACUUUUUUAGAAAUACUUUCCCUCUGUUUGACCUCUUCCUGUAGCCUGCCUCCCCUGUGCACAGAAAGCGUUCGGAUAUUAAAGAGACUUUUGCAUGUGGAGGAGAUAAACUCUCUGUGGAGGGUCUAAGAAUCAGGCCAAAUAAAAUCACAGGAGCCCUUAAUCACCCACAUAUUAUACACAGAAGCUGUUAGUCACCAGCCUAUGUAUAAACAUAUGUAUAGGUCCCCAUUUAGAGUAAAAAUUAGGGUCUUGAUGUAGGCUAACUACUUACUGUGUCAGUAUUUAAAGAGCUAAGUGAAAAAUACAGACAAAGGAGAGAUUGAGGUCACACACUCGCUCAGUCUGCAAGGAAAUUUGUAGGAGAACUGGAAGGGAUUCAACAGCCAUUUGCUGCCAGAACCCUCCUAUUGACUUUUUGGAAAGAGUAUGAUGAAAUGUACUUUUCUGGAAAAACGUCUGAAUGCGGGUUUAACCGAUAUUUAAGACACUCACCAAAAUCUUUUAAAAGAUAUCACUAGGAAGAUGCUAACAAAAUAGUGAACUAACUUCAAGGACAAUGUUUGAAAAUACUAAGAUGGUAAAUUUUCUUUUCAUUAGCUUAUCUACUUAAAAUGUGACUUUCCUGCAUACACAUUCAAUAGUAAGGGACCGAAAAAAAUGGAAGAUGUUACAAUUCUAAAAGGUUAAGGAUAAUAUGGUCACUUGGUGUUUAUUUAUAUCUUUCAUCUGGAUAUUCAAAUAAAGAUAUUUCAACCAUAAA